rnacentral:lncRNA from 1 species
AGCUCAGCUGGUGGGUGGGGAGUGCCUUUGGCCACUGGGGCGCCCAUUCCGGAGAGGGACCGCUCGUGCCCACGUCCUGGGUGCUGUCCCUCCCACAGGCUCUACUUGAUGGCGGAGUCUUCUGUCUGAGGUAGUUUUGGGGAUUUCUGGGGAAGUGGAACCAUUACUACAGGGUGGAGUAUGAAGUCACUACGACAGAAUGAAAUUUUCAUCUCCAUUCAGUAAAGAGCUGUUUUAUUGCUUUGUGUAUUUAGAGCCUCGUGCCUAAUUUAGGGCAAGAAAGUGGUAAGGGUAAAGCAUUGGCCAUAACUAUUUACAACUGAUGUUGUGAAUAGUGUGACAUUAGCCUAACUUUUAUGUUCAGGAUCUGUUUCCUCAACAUUUCUUUUUUUUUGAUAAUUUUUUUUGAUGUGUUAAAAUGGGAAUGAAAGUAGAGAAGCCUUUUGGGAGGGGUUCAACUUAAAAUAUUUGAAAUCACGCUGCAGUUUUUCUGGGACCCCAAACAUUUCCAGCCACGGUUUCUAGUUCCUUGUUUUGUACAGAAGCAGUGCCACAGAAUAUAUUGGAGUAUUUGUGAAGGUAUGUUCCUGGACCACAGAAGAGAGUUGCUAGAGCUCUUUGACUUGAUUCCUGAUACUCUAAAAAGGAGUGUUUGAAUCUUAAUUCCAGAAAUCUGUCCAUAAAGCUAACAAUUUCCUAUCACAGUGAACAUUUUCUUUAAUGUUUCCCUUAGUGUGUCUCUUUCCUUUCUAUAGGUUGACUAUUCUCCAACCAGAAGACUCUUCUUCAUUAGGAAGGAUAGCAUCUGCUGAGGAUCCUGCUUUGUGGGAAUGAAAUUUAGUCCUAGCUGGGGAAAAUGGCUGACUUCAGGGUUGGGAAGAUGUACAUUCAAACAGAUUGCGGGUGUUAUUCAUAUCCAGGAAAUCACUGGAGAGGGGCUGAUAUGUGGCAGACAUUUAACAACCUUAAAUCUUUUCCUUUCUAGGCUCCUAUAG